rnacentral:misc_RNA from 1 species
UAGUGAUAAAUGCCUAGUCCAGGUAUUGAGAACUGCUGAGAUUUUAUUGUGAUUUAUAAAUAUAAAGUUGGAUAUUGCUUCAGCUAGGUUUCAUCAGUUUAUAUGGUUAAUGAAGUAGUAAACUAAAUAGUCAAACAGUAGAAAAGAAACACAAGUUUGCAUGCGAAGUACAAGAAUAAAAAAAGAAGGAAUCCAUCUUGUGUGUGUGUGUGUGUGAGUGCA